rnacentral:rRNA from 1 species
AUGGCCGACCCGCAAUUUAUCAUCGGCACCUCCAUCUCCGAGAUGCUCGCCGGCAUGGAGCUAGACGGCGAGGACCCUCAUACGCUGGACCUCGGCACAAACUAUCUGCUCUACUUCCUGUACGACUACCUCCCGCACCCGCCGGUCUCCCCCACCGCCACCCUCUUCCCCUCCGGCUUGCCGUUGCUCCCCGACGGCGUCGACCGCAUCAGCCGCCUCCCCGAUGCGGUCCUCCGCGGAAUCGUCUCCCGCCUCCCCGCCAAGGACGCCGCGCGCACCUCCGCCCUCUCCUCGCGCUGGCGCCCCCUCUGGCGCGCGGCGCCCCUCUCUCUUGUCGACAGCCACCUGCUUCCGGACGGCGGCGCGGCCGGGCAGUUCCCCAUCGGCGUUCCCUCUCCCCGUGCCGUCACCGCCGCGGUGUCCCGCGUCCUCGCGGCGCAUCCGGGGCCCUUCCGCUGCGUCCACCUCACCCGCAGCACCAUGGAGGAGCACCGGGGCGAGAUGUCGCGCUGGCUCGACAUCCUCGUCGCCAAGGGGGUCCAAGAACUCGUCUUUGCCAACCGCCCUUGGCCGAUUGACCUGCGCCUCCCCGCCACGAUCUUCGGCUGCGCCUCUCUCACCCGCCUCUAUCUCGGCGUGUGGAGGCUCCCGGACACCGCCGCAGUGCCGCGCGGCGCCAGCUUCCCCAACCUCAAGGAGCUCGGUCUGUGCUGCUGUGUCAUGGAGGACCAUGAUCUGGCCUUCAUGCUUGAAAGAAGCCCCGUCCUGGAGUUCCUCGUCCUCAUGGGGAGCCAGACCGGAGUGGGCCUCCGCCUCGUCAGCCACAGCCUGCGGUGCGUUCAGCUGGGAUUCACCAUGUUGGAGGACAUCGACGUGGUGGAUGCUCCUCGCCUGGAGAGGCUCUUUCAGUGGCAAAUUGUGUCUCCGGGACAGGUCGCCAUGAACUGCUCUUUCAGAAUCAAGAUUGGCCGUGCACCUAACCUCCGUGUGCUGGGAUACCUUAAGCCAGGAGAUCAAGAGCUGGGGAUUAGCAACACCGUCAUCGUGGCUGGGGCCAAGGAGUGCAUUGUGCCUAGUGUCCAGAUUUUGGGCAUAGAGGUGCAAUUCGGCCUCCGCAAUGCUGUCAAGAAAGUGCCUGGCUUUCUCAGAUGCUUCCCUAACCUGGAGACGCUCCAUGUCUAUGUAAAACGGUCCCGCCGCAUAUCUGAAGAGUCCACUGGCAAGGUCAAUCUAAAGUUUUGGCAGGAGGGCGGUCCAAUGAAAUGCGUGGUGCAGAGCAUGAAGAAGGUGUUCUUCUAUGAGUUCCAAGGGUUGAGAAGCGAGGUUGCUUUCCUCAAGUUUAUCGCGGAGAGAGGUCGGGUGCUGGAGCAGAUGGUGGUCGUGGUGGCAAGCAAAUGUUUCUCCUCUGGCGAGGAUAAUGUGAGGGCCAAGCUGAAGCCUCUAACGAGCGCGAAUUGGAGCAGCAAAGCUUGCAAAGUAGAGUUGUGCAAGAGCACGCGCACUGAACCUGGAAGUCCUAUUUACAGCAACAAGAUAGCUUCUGAUUUUGGGUUUGCUGACCCUUUUGACCUCCUCGAGUACCACUAG